rnacentral:rRNA from 1 species
GUCUACGGCCAUACCACCCUGAAUGCACCCGAUCUUAUCUGAUCUCAGAAGCUAAGCAGGAUCGGGCCUGGUUAGUACUUGGAUGGGAGACUUUUCAGUUUACA